GGGAGAAGAGUUAGCCUGGUGGCCAACUUUGUGAAGAGACAUUUCAACCUGAGGUGUAUUGUCAAGCAGCAGUAUGGAGAGCUGCGUGUGUUUCCUGAGCGUUUUGUGGUGUGUGUGAGCCGACUGGAGGAUGCCUCAGCUAACCCGACCCCGGCCGUAACCGUGAGUCAGAGUACAGAGUCCCAGUAUUUUUCCAGGCCAGCAGCAGAAACCAGAGACGAACUGAACUCCUCC